rnacentral:rRNA from 1 species
UACGUAGGGUGCAAGCGUUGUCCGGAAUUAUUGGGCGUAAAGAGCUCGUAGGCGGUCUGUCGCGUCGGAUGUGAAAACCCAGGGCUCAACCCCUAGGCCUGCAUUCGAUACGGGCAGACUAGAGUUCGGUAGGGGAGACUGGAAUUCCUGGUGUAGCGGUGAAAUGCGCAGAUAUCAGGAGGAACACCGGUGGCGAAGGCGGCCAACUGGACGAAUACUGACGCUGAGACUCGAAAGCGUGGGGAGCAAACAGG